ensembl:lncRNA
GGAACGGAGUGGGAAGUGGAAUCAUGCACCUGUUCUUCUUCGCCGUUGGCCGACCCCAAUGACUACAGUACCCACGUAACAUUGCGCUGUCUCCCUCGUUCUCUCUUGCUCCGCUCUCUGCGCCAGUCUGUUCGAGGAACCAGUUCGUUUGGCCCUUUUUCUGCCUGCUCACUGUUGCCUGGUGUCAACCUACGCCGAGAAGAGACAUCCCUCCCUCUUCCCCCUUCAGAGGUUGCUUCCAAUUUGCCUUCGCCUUUCUUAUCGUCACUACCAUUGGCUUUUGCGCUGCCAGUCAGCCGCUUCCUUUUAGCAGGAGAGUUGAGUAGCAACAGCUCGGAAACAUCUGGCUGCCGCAGCUCUUCGCUCUCCGCUCGCUUGCCCCGUCUUUCCUGCCACUGCAGGUUGUUAUGGAAAGCUGUUGAAAGUCAAUCUAGUUAUUUUUCAACCGAGGAGGAUCUGAAGGAGGAAACAGGAACAUAUCGGAUCUCCCUGUCUCUCCCUCUCUCAUUGCAAAGGAGUUGCCUACAGCCUACUUCACUAUCACAGUGGACUGAAGCGAGUUCAUGUAUACUGCAGGUACGCUGCGUGUGUAGGCUGUGCGUGUGUGUGUGUGUGUGUGUGUGUGUAUGGAGCUGUUUUACGAUGAGCUCCGUGAGUACAGGGGCUUGUUUGUUAUUGGGGAACGGGAGGAUCCAGGAGCUGCUCUGGGGGUUCUUGUGUUGCAGCGGGUGGGACCGUGUUUGGAUGGGGAGCACUGGGACUUUGUUGACGGACGGAGAAGCAGUUGUUGUGGCGAGUGAAUUGUUGGUGGGGAGUAGCCGGUCUGAGAGGCACGAGGGGGAAGUCAGGAGAAGGCAUCCUGGAGAGCUUUUGACAAAUGCCUUUUUGUUCGGUUUUUCUUUGGCUGUGAGCGGCAGUUAGUAGUGGUGGAAGUUGUCAGUCGCGUCUGGAUGGUUUGGACUGAGGUAGGAAGCUGUUUGUAUGUGGACUGACAUGUGCCUGUGUUUCUCUGGGUAUCCUUUUUAUGGUGUUCUUUGAAUAUUUUCCCUUAUUUAGUGCUUUAAAAAAACUAAAACUAAAAUUAAACACCUGAUUUUUUUUUUUCAUUGAUUGCAAUUAGCAGAAUUAUUUUGACAUUAUCAAAGAUGUUAGAAUUGAAUACAGAGGGCAUUCAAAAAUAUAUAGCCUAUUCUACAAGUGCCUUUAAGUAGUUAGGAAUGAAAAACAAAUCCUAAAUGUUUUCAACAACUGUAUAAAGAAAAAAAACAAGUAAAAACAACAAAAAAAAACCUUGAAAGCCCCUUUCAUCAUUCUUAGGAACUUCUGUCUUUUCUCCUUUGCGUCGUUUUCUUUCCUGUUGGUGACUAAUUUAGAACUUGCAGAUUUGAGCUGCCUGAAUUGGCUAGACAGCUGUAAUCGCACUCCUCCUAGUCUUAAUCUCUUUAUCUGGGCAGCAGCUGCCAUAUGGCCCUAGUCAGCUGGAUCAGAUGUUUGUAAGCUUCCUUCUCCGGCCCUCCCCUCUCAGGCAGGCAGGCAGGCAGCCUCCUAAUUUGAUCGCGGCUACCUUGCGAGCCGAACGGCCGGCUGCUUUAUUUUUAGCCAUCUUAAGGAUUAGGAUUGAUGUAGACUACAGGGGCACUUAAAGUGAUUGUAUAGUAAAUCUGCUGUGGUUGGGUGGUGGUGGUUGCGCUGGUGGCGGUGACAGUGAUGUGGUGUGAAGAGUGUGUGUCCGUCUUUGGGGCUGGGGUUGGGGUUGGGGGAGAAUGGGGUUGAAUGUGUGUGUGUAUUGGUUGAUGGGGGGGAUGGAUGUUGAAUUUCUGGAAAGAGUAGAGUAGCUGGCUGGAGAAGGGGGUAGACUUGAGAGGAGGGAUGGGGUUGAGGGGGGCGUAUGGGUUGCUGGACAUCCCACCCCCCUCUACCG